rnacentral:rRNA from 1 species
CUCAAAUGAAUUGACGGGGGCCCGCACAAGCGGAGGAACAUGUGGUUUAAUUCGAUGAUACGCGAGGAACCUUACCCGGGCUUGAAAUGUACCUGACCGUCCUUGAAAGGGGACUUCUAGCAAUAGCAGGUAUGUAGGUGCUGCAUGGUUGUCGUCAGCUCGUGCCGUGAGGUGUCGGCCUAAGUGCCAUAACGAGCGCAACCCACAUUAUUAGUUACUAACAGGUUAAGCUGAGGACUCUAAUAAGACUGCCGUCGUAAGAUGCGAGGAAGGUGUGGAUGACGUCAAAUCAGCACGGCCCUUACGUCCGGGGCGACACACGUGUUACAAUGGGAGGUACAAAGGGCUGCUACCUGGUGACAGGAUGCUAAUCCCCAAAGCCUCUCCCAGUUCGGAUCGGAGUCUGCAACUCGACCCCGUGAAGCUGGAUUCGCUAGUAAUCGCGCAUCAGCCAUGGCGCGGUGAAUACGUUCCCGGGCCUUGUACACACCGCCCGUCAAGCCAUGGGAGCCGGGGGUAUCUGAAGUGCGUAACCGCAAGGAGCGUCCUAGGGUAAAACUGGUGACUGGGGCUAAGUCGUAACAAGGUAGCCGUACCGGA